rfam:Gossypium raimondii chromosome 5, whole genome shotgun sequence.
AGCCGUGCGGUGAGCACAGAGCGAACUAUUCUUUCGCCUUUUACUAAAGAAUACCGUGUGCUCGCCGUUCUAAGCGGCAUACGCCAAUUUUUGGAGGGCUCGUCUUGGUCGAUGAGU